GCCACCGUAGCUCAGUAGGUAGAGCAACUGAUUCGUAAUCAGUAGGUCCGCGGUUCGACUCCGCGUGGUGGCU
rnacentral:tRNA from 1 species